rnacentral:rRNA from 1 species
UGGGGAAUAUUGCGCAAUGGGCGAAAGCCUGACGCAGCAACGCCGCGUGAGUGAUGAAGGCCUUCGGGUCGUAAAGCUCUGUCGGAGGGAACGAAUGCUCCUGAAGUUAACAGCCUCAGGAGGUGACGGUACCCUCAAAGGAAGCACCGGCUAACUCUGUGCCAGCAGCCGCGGUAAUACAGAGGGUGCAAGCGUUGUUCGGAAUCAUUGGGCGUAAAGGGCGCGUAGGCGGCAUGACAAGUCACUUGUGAAAUCUCUGGGCUUAACCCAGAACGGCCAAGUGAUACUGUCGCGCUAGAGUGCAGAAGGGGCAAUCGGAAUUCUUGGUGUAGCGGUGAAAUGCGUAGAUAUCAAGAGGAACACCUGAGGUGAAGACGGGUUGCUGGGCUGACACUGACGCUGAGGCGCGAAAGCCAGGGGAGCAAACGGGAUUAGAUACCCCCGUAGUCCCUGAGCGGGCUGGCAAGGCGCAU